rnacentral:miRNA from 1 species
GGAAAAAUGUGUUACAUCGGUAA